rnacentral:tRNA from 1 species
GGUUGUGGCUCAGUGGUAGAGUGCUUGCCUUGCAUGUGUGAGGCCCUGGGUUCAAUCCUCAGCACCA